UGCAACUCGCCUGCAUGAAGUCGGAAUUGCUAGUAAUCGCAGAUCAGCAUGCUGUGGCGAAUACGUUCCCGGGCCUUGUACACACCGCCCGUCACACCAUGGGAGUCGGUAACACCCAAAGUUGGUAGUCUAACCGCAAGGAGGACGCCGCCUAAGGUGGGAUUGAUGACUGGGGUGAAGUCGUAACAAGGUAAC
rnacentral:rRNA from 1 species